UACGAAGGGGGCUAGCGUUGCUCGGAAUCACUAGGGCGUAAAGCGCACGUAGGCGGAUUGUUAAGUCAGGGGUGAAAUCCUGGAAGCUCAACUCCAGAACUGCCUUUGAUACUGGCGAUCUCGAGUCCGGGAGAGGUGAGUGGAACUGCGAGUGUAGAGGUGAAAUUCGUAGAUAUUCGCAAGAACACCAGUGGCGGAAGGCGACUCACUGGCCCGGUACUGACGCUGAGGUGCGAAAGCGUGGGAGCAACAGG
rnacentral:rRNA from 1 species